rnacentral:rRNA from 1 species
CAACGAAUCUUCCGCAAUGCACGAAAGUGUGACGGAGCAAUGCCGCGUGCGGGAUGAAGGGCUCCGCCGUGUAAACCGCUGCAGGACCUAGGCCGGUCCAGAGGAAGGGCCGGCUAAUCUCGUGCCAGCAGCCGCGGUAAUACGAGAGGCCCGAGCGUUACUCGGAAUCACUGGGCUUAAAGGGUGCGUAGGCGGAGGUGUAGGCGUCCUGUGAAAUCCCACGGCUCAACCGUGGAAUUGCGGGGCGAACCACACUUCUUGAACCUGGUAGGGGCUGUCGGAACGAUCGGUGGAGCGGUGAAAUGCGUAGAUAUCGAUCGGAACGCCGAAGGUGUAGACGGGCAGCUGGGCCAGUGUUGACGCUGAGGCACGAAAGCGUGGGGAUCAAACAGGAUUAGAUACCCUGGUAGU